rnacentral:rRNA from 1 species
GACGAACGCUGGCGGCGUGCUUAACACAUGCAAGCCGAACGGAAAGGCCCUGCUUUUGUGGGGUGCUCGAGUGGCGAACGGGUGAGUAACACGUGAGUAACCUGCCCUUGACUUUGGGAUAACUUCAGGAAACUGGGGCUAAUACCGGAUAGGAGCUCCUGCUGCAUGGGGGGGGUUGGAAAGUUUCGGCGGUUGGGGAUGGACUCGCGGCUUAUCAGCUUGUUGGUGGGGUAGUGGCUUACCAAGGCUUUGACGGGUAGCCGGCCUGAGAGGGUGACCGGCCACAUUGGGACUGCGAUACGGCCCAGACUCCUACGGGAGGCAGCAGUGGGGAAUAUUGCACAAUGGGCGGAAGCCUGAUGCAGCAACGCCGCGUGCGGGAUGACGGCCUUCGGGUUGUAAACCGCUUUCGCCUGUGACGAAGCGUGAGUGACGGUAAUGGGUAAAGAAGCACCAGCUAACUACGUG